UGUAAUUACAUCGAAUUCUUCAACAAAAAUCAAAAGUUGAUUUCAAAUCCUCAUGAAUAUAUCCUCCAAAACUUGAUUUCACUAUUUUUUUAAAACUCAUAAAAUUACUUUAUAAUUACAAAACCCACUUUUGAUUUUGGUCUAUACGCAGAGGAGAGAAAAAUUAUUGGUGAUAGGUGAUGAGAUAUUCAUGGGACCAUGGAUCCUCUGUUUGAUCCGAUGGAACAAGAGAGUUAAGAGUUUUACUUGAAGCAGCAACAACAACGUGGUGGUGAAGAUGAUUAGAGGAUAAAUGAGGGCCACACAACAGCAUGUCAUCUCCCUUUCUUUUUUAUUUUAUUUGUUUUAAU
rnacentral:lncRNA from 1 species